GAUUAUAGAUACCUACAACCAGUAUAAAGAACUGUGGCAUUCAAGGGCUCUACAUGUAAGAUUGCAAAUAUGUUCUGUAGCAGUAAACCCACUCCUUCCCCAACAUUACUCUGAAUCUGCAGGUGAGAAUGUUCUUAGCAAAGCUAGGAACCAGCCACCUGUUUUGAAGUCAGUCACCGUGCAAGUGUCUCCGGUAGAGCUACAGAUAAUGUAACUGCUGACAGUGGAAUACAUUAACUGCUUGCUAUAAAAGUAUGCUACU